ACAUAAUUUUCAUAUUUGAAAGCAUUUACAUAAACUAAUCUUGUUAUGAAAAUCAAUUGAUUUUUUAAAGAAAUUUUUAAAAGAACUAUAAAAACACACGUACUUAUAAUAAUAUCAAAAUGAUUGUACACAUCCAGUAUAUUAGGAAUGAAGUUAUUUACUUCAAUAAAAGUAAUGGUCUAAACACAUCUCAAAGCCUCAAAUAGCCUCAAAUAUCUCCAACACCUUAAACAAAUAUAAGAUAUAACUAUUAACAACUCAUUUUGAGAACUUAGUUUUCUAAUUUAUACCCUUACAAGUCUAAUUCUUAGAAUUUUAACUUUUAAUCUAGAAAUCAUAAUAACACAAUAUUUUACGAACCAUUCUAGAAAUCCAUGGAUAUCUUUCAUAAAUUGUUUAAGAGGAUUUGACACCAAAAACACUUUCAAGACUAUUUGUUUCUGGAUAAAUUCAAAAACUGUCACACAGUGCCUUGAUUGAACAAUAUGGAUUCUGAGAUUUUUAUAAAAUUAUACAUUAAUCCAAAAAUUAUGAAAUUAAAAUUGGAAAUACUAGACACAUAUAUUAACCUCUAUCUAAAGUUUCAGAAUUUUUCAAGUUCAUUUGAAGGUAAAAAUAAUUUUGUAAAUCUGGUCAUUCUGUUAAAACCGUUGUUUUUCAAUGCAAUAGAGUUAGUUCAAAAAAUAUAUAUAUAAUUGAAAAUAAAGUCAAAUCUUAUGAAUUCAAUAAACCAUGUAUAUCUAGUUUACAAAAAAGAUAAGGUUCUUCUAAAAACUAAUUCAUAAAAUAUAUGUUCUAUUUCAGGAUAUUCAUACUAGAAUUGUUCGGUGUGUUACUGCAUUAGUGAUAAACUAAUAUGAUACAAUAAUAUAUUAGUGCACUAAACACAAUUUAAACACGCCCUAAAUUGUCUAUGACAAUCCAAAAUCAUGCUAAUAAAAUCCUAAAUAAAGCACAACGAUAGGGAAUUAAGUAGGGCAUAGAGAGAGUAAAAUUUACCAACAAUGCGGUUUUCGAUUUUGGGUUUGGCCAUCAUGGGAAUGGGUUCGAAAGAGUGGUGUCUGCUGUCCCUCUGAUCUAUGUGAUUUGUUUUUAUUACGCAUUUUUGUUUUUCAAUUUGGUACGAUCUAAUUGAUUUCAACAACUGGAUUAAAAGUAAAUAAAUGGAGAUUAAAUUUAAAGGCCAGUAGGAAAGAGAAGAAGUAUGGGUGGGAUGUGGAUGUGGCUAGCUCUGGUUCAACUCAGAUGAUUUAAUUGUAUUUUAAGCGAGACGACUACCGUGACGAGGGUGUGCGUCUGCAAAUUCUAAGUAUCUUUUCUGCAUCUUAUUUUACCACCUCUAGUUUUACCUAGAUGUUUCGGCCAACCGAUGAUUCCGAAGGGCUUUUUCAUUGUUAAGCACUGUCGUAGCACCGCCGAGAGCUUGGUCACUGUUCUUAUUCUUCGGCGGUCAAGAGCCUCAUGGCUGUAAUUUCACAUUUGGGAUUACUUAAUUGUAGAUUAUGAAUAAUAUUUUAUCUUCAAUUAACCCUACUAUUAGUAAUAUAUUGACAUUACUUUAUUUUGUUUAUUAUUUUGAUUUGGGGAAUAAGUAAAGAAUUUGAAGAUUUCUGAGUUGUAUGAUGAAGAUGGUUUGGUGAAACUUGGUAGCAUUUUUAUUUUGUUUUUU
rnacentral:lncRNA from 1 species